ensembl:lncRNA
GCUGGAACACCCGGCUAAUCAUUGGCGGCCAGGUUUGAUCACGUGAUCAGCUCGGGCCCGCCCCUAACCGCUAAUCACCUGGCACCGUUCUCGAAGCGGCGCCGAAAGUCGUUCGCACGCGGAAAGGGAGGGUAGUUAGAAGACCUCCUUUUCAGCCGUCAUGAGAUUAUAUUCCUAAAGUGGAAACGAGAAAGCAGGGACUCAAAACUAAAAAACCCUGUCCUACGGCGGGGAUGCAGGCAGUUUGGGUAAUUAUGGGAGCGAGACUGGGUGUAACAGGCACUUUCAGUCUCCCUUCCCCCACUUGUUUGAUGGCUGUGUGGUUUUAGGGAAACUGCUUAACUUUUCUUCCAGGGAGAAUGCAUUUGCUGCUAACAGUGUUCCAACUGGUGGUUACUCUGUCAGCCUUGGUCCCAUAAUAUGGAUGGCAUAGAGCAGAGACACCUAAUCAACUGGCAGUGAAUAUGUUCAGUUCAGUUCAGUCACUCAGUCGUGUCCGACUCUUUACGACCCCAUGAAUCGCAGCACGCCAGGCGUCCCUGUCCAUCACCAACUCCUGGAGUUCACUCAGACUCACGCCCAUCGAGUCAGUGAUGCCAUCCAGCCAUCUCAUCCUCUGUCGUCCCCUUCUCCUGCCCCUAAUCC